rnacentral:rRNA from 1 species
CCUACGGGUGGCAGCAGUGGGGAAUAUUGGGCAAUGGGCGCAAGCCUGACCCAGCAACGCCGCGUGAAGGAAGAAGGCUUUCGGGUUGUAAACUUCUUUUGUCAGGGAAGAGUAGAAGACGGUACCUGACGAAUAAGCCAUGGCUAACUACGUGCCAGCAGCAGCGGUAAUACGUAGGUGGCAAGCGUUGUCCGGAUUUACUGGGUGUAAAGGGCGUGUAGGCGGGUUGGCAAGUCAUUUGUGAAAUCCUGGGGCCUAAACGCAGGACUGCAUUGGAAACUGGUGAUCUUGAGUAUUGGAGAGGCAGGCGGAAUUCCAAGUGUAGCGGUGAAAUGCGUAGAUAUAAGGAAGAACACCAGAGGCGAAGGCAGUCUGCUGGACAGCAACUGACGGUGAGGGGCGAAAGCGUGGGGAGCAAACAGGAUUAGAUACCCGAGUAGUC